ACGAACGCUGGCGGCAUGCCUCACAUAUGCACGUCGAACGUGACCUUCGGGUCUCGUGGCGCACGGGUGCGUAACGCGUGGGAACCUGUCCUUUGGUUCGGAAUAACUCCACGUAAGGGGUGCUAAUACCGGAUAAUGUCUUCGGCCCAAAGAUUUAUCGACUUUGGAUGGGCCCGCGUUGGCUUAGCUAGUUGGUAGGGUAAAAGCCUACCAAGGCGACGAUCCAUAGCUGGUCUGAGAGGUUGUUCAGCCACUCUGGGACUGAGACACGGCCCAGACUCCUACGGGAGGCAGCAGUGGGGAAUAUUGGACAAUGGGCGAAAGCCUGAUCCAGCAAUGCCGCGUGAGUGAUGAAGGCCUUAGGGUUGUAAAGCUCUUUUACCCGGGAUGAUAAUGACAGUACCGGGAGAAUAAGCUCCGGCUAACUCCGUG
rnacentral:rRNA from 1 species